ACUGAGGUCAGUGCGGUGGAGUUGCAGGAGCUGCGCGUGCGGAGGAGCUAUGGAGCUGACCCCGGGAGCCAGGAGCAUGAGGACCUGGAGUCUGUGUCAGAUUUGUACCUCCGGGUCGGAUUCUCGUCCUUAUGAAAUAGUCAAACAGCCUCGCCAUGCACCAGAAGAAUAUAAACCAAAGCAGGGGGAGAUUGAUCUUGGUACUACCUACAAAUGGCAUCUUAAUUCUUGUAAAGUGCAGCGUGUGGCAAUAGCUCGGCCUUUGGAGAGACAAGUUAAAAAAGGGAAGUUGGAUACUGUCCCGACCUAUAAAGAUUUCAAGGCAUCUGCAUAGUGUACCCUGAGUCAAGUUUUGGUUGGCAGUGUCAAGAUGGCUGCACUGCUCCUCGCUGUGUUCAAGUUAGAAAGAGGCAUUGUGGUGUGACAAGUAAAGGCUCUGUGGCUUGGGAAUCAAAGCACCUGUGUUCAAGUUUCAAUGACACCAGUUUCUACUUGUGCCAUCCUAGGGGUAUGUGUUAGCAGCUCUGAAACUACAUGUAUAAUAAGGUCAAACCAAGAAAAUAUAUUGCAGAUAAUGAAAGCCAGGCUUCUCCCUGUCAGAGAAAGAAGUUGACAAACAAGAAAAAGUUCUCUGAGAGCAAGGACAAGAUGCCAUUCCCCCAGGAUGCCUGGAUCAGUCAGGGUCACAAGCCUGUCCAGAGCGAUUGUCUCCUUUUCACAGACUAAACAACUCUAAGUUGCAUUCACAUCAAAGCAGCUAAUCUCCUGAUGUCCCAAGAUACCACAUCCGUUCAGAACAGCCCUGUGGGCGAGACCCUGACAAGGUUGGCUCCAUGCGGUCCAGUUUGCACAAGGCUUCGGGGUGGUCACGGUACCUGAGAGGGGUACGUACUAUCACAGGAAGGCCCCAGGCAGUGCCGCCAGGAAGAGGGUUUCUUCCCCGGUUCGCGGCAUCUCUCAGCCACCGUCUUGCAGCUCCUCGUGUGGACACAGUCCACCUUCCGAGACUGGAAGCUCUGACCACAGGCUGACGUACAGGGUCUCCAAGGGCCUGCGCGCCAACAUGCGUCACAAGCCCCCGACGAGCAGUUCCUCCAAAAGGUGGGUCUGAAAUGAGAAAAACAAACAAAAAAGUGGACAACAGGAGAAAGUGGGGUGUCACUUCUUGCUGGGAUCAAGCCUUUUACUGUACUGUACUUUCCGUAUAGCAAAGGCUUGACAAUUCGGACCUUAUUCAACAGGAAACUCAUCUGCAUUGCUCCUGGCUGACUAAGCAAAGUGGUGGAGGAAUCACAACCUCAGUAGAGGCGAGCAAACCACGUGUUUCCAUGAGCCUCCAGCACCACAUCAAGGCACGCACCUCAAAAGACACAGUCUCCUGAUGAGCUGGAGCAGAUCGAUUUAGGCAAGGAAGAGAAGAAUGACACAUUUGUUAACAAACUGUAAGCUCUGUUAAAUAAGCACUUGAAAUAGAUUCUGGUAUGAGUAUGAAUUUGUUUGUGAGCAAUCUUCUCUGCUAAGAGGAGUGCUCUAGUUUACAUUUAGGACACACUCUUAACUCGUGGUGAGAGCUAACAAAGACCUUUUGGGAAGAGGGGUCUACCUCUAGCCUCCUUCUCCUUUAAGACAGAACAGAAAGUAAUGCCCUCUGUUUUGUUGUUGUCAACAAGGGUCCACUGUAUGUGUAUAUUUAUUUGACAACCAUGUGCCAGAGAAUUUUCCGAAUACUUUACAUAGAUUGACUCCUUUAAUCCUCACAACUACCCUACACAGUAGCUACUUAAUUUUUUUAAUUGAAGUAUCAUUGAUUUACAAUAUUAUAUUAGCUUCAGGUGUACAAUGUAGUGAUUCAAUAUUUUUAUACUUUAUACUCCAUUUAAAGUUAUUAUAAAAUACUGGCUAUAUUCCCUGUGCUGUGCAUUACAUCCUUGUACCUUACUUAUUUUAUACCUACUGGUUGACACCUCUCAGUCUCUUAGCCCUGUCUUGCCCCUCCUCCAUGACUUUCCCCCCACUGGUAACCACUAGUUUGUCUCUGAAUCUAUGAGU